rnacentral:rRNA from 1 species
GUUAGGAAUUUUCCGCAAUGGGCGAAAGCCUGACGGAGCAAUGCCGCGUGAAGGAUGAAGGCCUAUGGGUUGUAAACUUCUUUUCUCAGAAAAGAAUUAUGACGGUAUCUGAGGAAUAAGCAUCGGCUAACUCUGUGCCAGCAGCCGCGGUAAGACAGAGGAUGCAAGCGUUAUCCGGAAUGAUUGGGCGUAAAGCGUCUGUAGGUUGUUUAAAAAGUAUUCUGUCAAAGAUUAGGGCUUAACCCUAGAUAGGCAGAAUAAACUUUUAAGCUAGAGUUUGGUAGAGGCAGAGGGAAUUCCCGGUGGAGCGGUGAAAUGCGUAGAUAUCGGGAGGAACACCAAAGGCGAAGGCACUCUGCUGGGCCAAUACUAACACUGAGAGACGAAAGCGAGGGGAGCAAAUGGGAUUAGAUACCCCGGUAGUCC